UACGUAGGGGGCUAGCGUUGUCCGGAAUCAUUGGGCGUAAAGCGCGCGUAGGCGGCCCGGUAAGUCCGCUGUGAAAGUCAAAGGCUCAACCUUUGAAUGUCAGCGGAUACUGCCGGGCUAGAGUCCGGAAGAGGCGAGUGGAACUCCUGGUGUAGCGGUGGAAUGCGCAGAUAUCAGGAGGAACACCGAUGGCGAAGGCAGCUCGCUGGGACGGUACUGACGCUGAGGCGCGAAAGCGUGGGGAGCGAACAGG
rnacentral:rRNA from 1 species